CAUGUACUCCCUCCGUCCGGAAAUACUUGUCCGAGGAAUGAAUGUAUCUAGAUGUAUUUUAGUUCUAAAUACAUCCAUUUGUAUCCAUUUCUAUGACAAGUAUUUCUGGACGGAGGGAGUACGUA
rnacentral:pre_miRNA from 1 species